ACAGCGUCGCUACUACUGUCGGACUUUGAGUGAAAGUGGAUUGGUUUGUGUGAAGAUGCAGUGGAGGUGCAAAUACUGUAUGCAUGGAGUUCAACAGGAUUGUUGGCAAGAAUCUCAAGCAGGAAUUCUAUGAGAGCAUCGAUCGACAUAGUCCUCGUCUUGUCGAGAUUUUUCGAUCCAAGAGAGGGAACGCUGGCCAAGUGUUGACACAGCUUUCCCAACAGACCAGGACUGCAGAGCCAACUGAUAUUCGAACACUGGUGCUCAGAGGACUUCCUGUUAUUCUUGGUGACAACCCCACAGACUUCUACAAA